CAGUAGCCGCGGUAAUACGAAGGGUGCAAGCGUUAAUCGGAAUUACUGGGCGUAAAGCGUGCGUAGGCGGUUUGUUAAGUCUGCUGUGAAAUCCCCGGGCUCAACCUGGGAAUGGCAGUGGAUACUGGCAAGCUAGAGUGUGUCAGAGGAUGGUGGAAUUCCCGGUGUAGCGGUGAAAUGCGUAGAGAUCGGGAGGAACAUCAGUGGCGAAGGCGGCCAUCUGGGACAACACUGACGCUUAGGCACGAAAGCGUGGGGAGCAAACAGGAUUAGAUACCCGCGUAGUCCCUGUCUCUUAUAC
rnacentral:rRNA from 1 species